rnacentral:rRNA from 1 species
GUACGGAAGGCAGCAGUGAGGAAUAUUGGACAAUGGGGGCAACCCUGAUCCAGCAAUGCCGCGUGAGUGAUGAAGGCCUUAGGGUUGUAAAGCUCUUUUGGCGGGGACGAUGAUGACGGUACCCGCAGAAUAAGCCCCGGCUAACUUCGUGCCAGCAGCCGCGGUAAUGCGAAGGGGGCGAGCGUUGUUCGGAAUUACUGGGCGUAAAGGGCGCGUAGGCGGCGACCCAAGUCAGAUGUGAAAGUCCUGGGCUUAACCUGGGGACUGCAUUUGAUACUGGGUUGCUUGAAUUCGGGAGAGGAUAGCGGAAUUCCCAGUGUAGAGGUGAAAUUCGUAGAUAUUGGGAAGAACACCGGUGGCGAAGGCGGCUAUCUGGACCGACAUUGACGCUGAGGCGCGAAAGCGUGGGGAGCAAACAGGAUUAGAAACCCCGGUAGUCC